CAUUGGUCCCCUUCUGGCUAUAUGCAGGUGUGUUACACUAUAGUCUAACAGUGGAUACACGAAUACUAUAGCAUUUUUAUAACUAGCCUAGUAUAAUGUUACUUGACGAUAUUGGUAUGUAAUUCCUAACCUAACAUGUCUCCUAGCCAAACAAAUCCUAUUGCUACGUUUGCAUCUAACCUGUAUUAUGACCCCGGCUGGAUGGAC